AUUGAACGCUGGCGGCAGGCCUAACACAUGCAAGUCGAGCGAGCGGCGGACGGGUGAGUAAUGUACGGGAACCCUCCUGAUGGCGGGGGAUAACUACAGGAAUCGGUAGCUAAUACCGCAUACACUCAGCUGUGCCCAGAUGGGAGUAGCUAGUAGGUUGCGUAACGGCUCACCUAGGCGACGAUCCCUCGCUGGUCUGAGAGGAUGACCAGACACACUGGAACUGAUACACGGGCCAGACUCCUCCGGGAGGCAGCAUUGGGGAAGAUUGCACAAUGGGCGCAAGCCUGAUGCAGCCAUGCCGCGUGUGUGAAGAAGGCCUUCGGGUUGUAAAGCACUUUCAGCGGGGAGGCGUUACCCGCAGAAGAAGCACCGGCUAACUCCGUGCCAGCAGCCGCGGUAAUAC
rnacentral:rRNA from 1 species